UUUUUGUUAAAUAUAAUUUUAUUAUUUUAUUUUAUUUAUUUAUUUAUUUAUUUUAAUAUGUAUAAUUAUUUUAUAAAAAAAAUUUUUUUUUGAAAAAAACAUAAAAAUCUUAAUUUUCCAAUUAAUAUGUUUUCAUAUGUAUUAUUUAUUUUUAUUUAUCAAAGUAAAGUAUAUAUAUAUUAUAAAGAGAAUAUUAUAUCUAUAAUAUAUUUAUAACUAUAUAUAUAAUAACAUGUAAUUUGUUAUGGUAAUUUUAUUUUGUUAAAGUUAAAUAAUAGAAGUUUUUAUUUUUAUAUGAAUUUUUAUAUUUUUUGGAAAAUUAUUGAAGUUUGUACAAUUUACGACUAGCGAAAAGAAAAAAGCUAAAUAAAAUAAUAACUAGCCAUUUUAGAUUUUAUUAGCUAUAUGGCAUUAUUAUUAUAAAUUAUUAGGAGGCUACAGCUUCUAUUUUUUUUUUUUAUAUCCACUUUAAUGUAAAAAUUUUGGGAAGUAAAUUUACAAAAAAUCAUUAAGUUAUGUGAGUUAUAAAAUUUAGUACCUAUUUUUGAUAACAGAUAUUCUUCCAAAAAGGAUUAGUAUUAUCUAGGUGUAAUAUAUAAUAUUAUAUGAAUUACAAAAAAAAAAAAAAUUAGCUGCUUUAUAUUUGUUGUUGUAUUUUUAAGUUUUGGGUAUAAAUAUUUUUAAUUGAACACAUGAUUUGGAUGUGUAGAAUUAAUUUAGUUAUAUUAUUAUAAUGUAUGAACUUUUCUUCAUUAAUAUGUUUAGGAUAGAAUGGUAAUACAGAGAUAUAACUAUGUGAACUAAUUUAUUUUUUAAUAAUAUUUAUAAGAAUUUAUCAAGAAAUAUACGUAUUAUUUAUUAAAAUCAUACUCGAGUUUCUCUAGUUUAUUAUGGAUAGACGAAGCAAAAUCUAUUAUUAUUUUUCAGAACCAAUAAAAACUAUUAAAUGAAUACUAUAUCUUCUUUUUUUCAUCUUUUUUUUUCAUUUAUUUUCAUUUCUUUUCUGGUUUUUUUUUUUUUUCUUUUUUUUUUCAAUAAAAAGGAAAUUAAGGUUUCUCAUAAAAUAAUUAGUUUUGGUAUUUUAUGCUAUAUGAAUAAUAUUUUGUAAAAGUAUAUCUAGAAGAUUUUAUAGUUCUAAUGAUAGUAUGAAAUCGAAUAAAACUAUUUAAAUAUCAUUGUUCACGAUGAAUACGUAUAAUGUUUGUAUAUAUUUUAUAAAUGUUCAUAAUUAUAUGAUGUAAUUGAAAUGAGGAAAGUGUUUUUUUUUUUUUUUUUUUUAAUAAUAAAAGAAGAAUGAAGAAAAGAAAUAAAAAUGUUAUAAUUUUGCAUAACAUCAGUAAAACAUUAUGAUAUAAUAUUAUAUAAUUAAAUAUAUUAUUUUGAAAAAAAUAUAAUGUUAUAAUUCGGAUGUAUUUUAUGUUAAAAAUACAAAAGGUUUACUCAAAUUAUUCAGAUAAAAGAAAUAUAUUAAACUUUUUAUAUUCAUAAAUUUUUUUUUCUUUUUUUCAAUUGAUAUAUGUUCAUAUAUUAGGGUGUAAAUUUUAAAAUAUAAUUAUCAUGAAUUUAAUAUGGUAAAUGGAAUAACAAAUAUAUAUAUAUUUCAUUUUUUUUUUUUUCUUCAUAUUUUAUAUAGAUUUAUGUAUAUAUAUAUAUAAUUUUUUUUCUCCCU
rnacentral:sRNA from 1 species